AAAAGACUUAGUCCUAACCUUACUAUUGGUUUUUGCUAGACAUAUACAUGCAAGUAUCCGCACUCCAGUGAAAAUGCCCUAACACCUUUGACCAGUCUAAGCAAAAGGAGCAGGUAUCAGGCUCACCUAACUGUAGCCCAAGACACCUUGCCGAAAGCCACACCCCCACGGGUAUUCAGCAGUAAUUAACCUUAAGCAAUAAGUGCAAACUUGACUUAGCCAUAGCAAUUCUAGGGUUGGUAAAUCUUGUGCCAGCCACCGCGGUCAUACAAGAAACCCGAAUCAAUAGCCAUCCGGCGUAAAGAGUGGCCAUAUGUUAUCUACACCAACUAAGAUCGAAAUGUAACUAAGCCGUCAUAAGCCCAAGAUCCACCUAAGCUCAACCUAAAAACCAUCUUAGCCCCACGACUAAUUUUAAUCCACGAAAGCUAGGGCACAAACUGGGAUUAGAUACCCCACUAUGCCUAGCCCUAAAUCCAGAUACCCUCCCACCUAUGUAUCCGCCCGAGAACUACGAGCACAAACGCUUAAAACUCUAAGGACUUGGCGGUGCCCCAAACCCACCUAGAGGAGCCUGUUCUAUAAUCGAUAACCCACGAUCCACCCGACCACCCCUUGCCAACACAGCCUAUAUACCGCCGUCGCCAGCCCACCUAAAAUGAAAGAUCAACAGUGAGCUCAAUAGUCCCCGCUAAUAAGACAGGUCAAGGUAUAGCCUAUGGGGUGGGAGAAAUGGGCUACAUUUUCUAAUUAAUAGAUCAAACGAAAAAGGACGUGAAACCCGUCCUUGGAAGGAGGAUUUAGCAGUAAAAUAGGACCAUACUCCCCUAAGCCUACUUUAAGACGGCCCUGGGGCACGUACAUACCGCCCGUCACCCUCUUCAAAAGCCACCACACAACCAAUAAAUAAUACCUUUUCUCAAGCUAAAGACGAGGCAAGUCGUAACAAGGUAAGCGUACCGGAAGGUGCGCUUAGACCAC
rnacentral:ncRNA from 1 species